rnacentral:tRNA from 2 species
GGCAAGAUGGCCGAGUUGGUUAUGGCGUGAGGUUAAGGUUACCUUAACAGACAAUUUCCUCAUGGAGCAAUCCGCGUGGGUUCAAGUCCCACUCUUGUCA